UACAGAGGGGGCAAGCGUUGUUCGGAAUUACUGGGCGUAAAGGGCGCGUAGGCGGCCUGCUAAGUCGAACGUGAAAUCCCCGGGCUCAACCCGGGAACUGCGUCCGAUACUGGCAGGCUUGAAUCCGGGAGAGGGAUGUGGAAUUCCAGGUGUAGCGGUGAAAUGCGUAGAUAUCUGGAGGAACACCGGUGGCGAAGGUGGCAUCCUGGACCGGUAUUGACGCUGAGGCGCGAAAGCUAGGGGAGCAAACGGG
rnacentral:rRNA from 1 species